rnacentral:rRNA from 1 species
AUGGCGAGCCGGGUGAAGGAGGACGAGAAGAACGAGCGGGUCAUACGGGGGCUGCUCAAGCUGCCCGCCAACAAGAGGUGCAUCAACUGCAACAAUUUGGGACCACAAUAUGUGUGCACAAAUUUCUGGACCUUCGUUUGUACCAAUUGCAGUGGAGCACACCGAGAGUUCACUCACCGGGUGAAAUCUGUUUCCAUGGCUAAAUUUACCGCACAAGAAGUCACUGCUCUACAAGGAGGAGGAAAUGAGCGUGCUAGAGAAAUAUUUUUCAAGGAGUGGGAUUCUCAGCGUAAUCCAUACCCUGACAGCAGUAAUACGGACAAAUUGAGGAAUUUCAUCAAGCAUAUUUACGUGGAGCGGAGAUAUACAGGAGAAAGAAGCUCUGAUAGACCACCGAGGGGAAAGGACGAUAAGGAUGAACAUAGCGAAAAUAGAAGAUCUGAUGGAAAUCGGGGUGGUUCAAGAAGUCCACCAUACAAUGAAAGUUACUCUGACCGUCGGAGUUAUAGUGGACGGAGUGAUGACAGAAAUUCCAGACAUUCCUAUGGAGAACGUAGUCCUGGCUAUGACCAGAAUGACUAUAAGAAAAGCCCCCGCCACUUUGAAGCUGUCGACGAUAGAUCUGGGAAAACAACUCCAGUUCAAAGGUUCGAGGACCGCAGGUUUUCUGAACCACGAAAGCCAGAGACUGGGUCUCCAAAUUACCAGAGAGAAGCCAACGGAUCUAGUCCUCCUGUUGUACGGCCAGUGAGGGAGAUAUUGGGUGAUGAUGCUCCUCAACUUCGGAUUGAUGAACCUCCAAAGCCGAAUGUAGCCAGACCGAUUGACCCUCCAAAACCAAAUGGAACCAGGACCAUUGAGCCUCCACCUCAGGCACAGGUUAGGACAUCUACUGCCAGCAGUAUUGGUUCUUCCGAGGGGAUUUCGGAACAGACGAAGGCAGCAACUCCAGUCAGUUUAAUUGAUUUUGGUGCAGAUCCUGAACCCACUGCAUCUGCCCCGCCAUCACAGACAGCCCCUACACCCCAACAGCAGCCAGUUAGUGCACAGCCUAUUAACGCAACAACGCCGCAACAUGUUCUUGAACAAGGCAAAAGUGCUCCAUCAGUGAGCGGCGGUGAUUGGGCAUCUUUUGAUGCUUUUGGCCAGCAGCAGCAAACACCACAAGUAGGCAGCACCGUAAAUCCACUUGAGUCUGUGCUUGCACAACUAUCAUUCUCCGAAACACCCUCUGCCUCCAAUACGUCAGCCUUUUCAACUUCUGUUGAUCCGCAAGCAAAUGGAGGACAGCUGUCCAUGAUAGAUACAUCACAUUCUUCAUUAUUUGGUCCACCCGUUGGAAUCUCAGGCAAUCAGGUCUCAACAGGAAUGCCUGUCCAAGGAUCUGCAGUUCAUCAAUCUGCUGUGGCUGCCUCUAUGGGUGGUCUUCCAUCUCAAUUGCCUUCAAAUUCUCAAGGAACCAGUGGUAUUCAAGAAGCAACGUCUUCUCAUGACAGCAAAUCCAGUGGGCGGACAGCACUGCCAGUGGAUUUCUUUACUUCACUAUAUCCAUCAGCAACUCCAGCAAUGCCUGGCUGGCAGAGAGCUCCCCAGUCUGGAAUGGGAUUUGGCAUGCAGUAUCCUGCUGCAAUGUUGCAGGGAAUGCAGUCAUAUCCUCAGGCAACAUUUUCUCAACCUACAUAUCAACAACCUAUGUAUCAGCAACCUACAUACCAACAACCUACGUAUCAACAGCCUGUAUAUCAGCAAAAUGCGUAUCCCCAACCUGCGAAAGCUUCAAACCCUUUUGACCUCGGAAAUGAGGCAGCCCCAAUUCAAGCUCACAUGUCCCGACCACUGGGAGCAUCAGCAGGCGCUACUAACCCAACAUUAGUUGGUAACUCUAGUUUUGGAGUUCCACCUCAGCAGCCUCAGCAGAUGUAUCAGCCAUCUGUACAUCAAAACCAUUACAUGAUGCAGCAUGUUUCAAACAACAUGCCUGAGCAGCUACCUAAUGGCAUGCUUCCAAGGCAACAAGGAGGUGCUGGUUCCCUCGGCGUAGGCUAUGAUCAACAAGCUGCUCCUAGGUAUUCCCAGCCAAACACCCCACCGUCCUAUGGUGCUGUGGGUGGAAAUCCUUUCGGGUAA